AGGGUUUGAUUCUGGCUCAGGACGAACGCUGGCGGCGUGCCUAACACAUGCAAGUCGAACGGAAGCAAAGAUUUCGGUUUUUGCUUUAGUGGCGAACGGGUGAGUAACGCGUGAGGAACCUGCCUUUCAGUGGGGGACAACAGUUGGAAACGACUGCUAAUACCGCAUAAUACUUUCGAGCGGCAUCGUUUGAAAGUCAAAGAUUUAUUGCUGAAAGAUGGCCUCGCGUCUGAUUAGCUAGUUGGUGGGGUAACGGCCCACCAAGGCGACGAUCAGUAGCCGGUCUGAGAGGAUGAACGGCCACAUUGGGACUGAGAUACGGCCCAG
rnacentral:rRNA from 1 species